CUUGGAUUGCAAACGCCACUGAGACCAACAGUGACUAUAAAAUGAAAUUUCUGGUGAGGAAUAGGCCCACAAAAAGAAUAUCUUUUGAGGUGUGGCUUGCUGAAGAGGGAGACUGAAGUAGAGACUUGGAGGAAUUGAGGACAGACUGAUCACUCGGGGGACAAACAUUCCAGAUGGAAGGAACACCUGGCGUGUCCUCGGGCACCACCCACACACUGCAGGAUGUCGCUGCCCCCCUUACCUGACAAUGUUCAUGGAGCCAGGGUUAUAGUCAUUUUCGUUCACACCCAUGACGAAUGUUGGUGCAUCCGGCGAGGGCGCAGAGAUGACCACGCGUUGAGCACCUGCUGAGAUGUGGUCCUGGGGAGGAGGCGCAGGUGUCAGGUGCUUCUGGCGCCAUUGUCCCCCUAGCUGGCCCUGGGCAUGCCUCCCCCGCUUACCGAAGCUGCCUCUAUGGAGAGGUACACGCCUGUGGACUCCACCACGUAGGGGCUCCCAACAGCCCUCCAGGGGAUCUGUUUGGGCUCCUUGCUGCGGGGUAGUGGCAGGGCUGAGUCAGUCUCUCCUGCGUGGGCCCCACCUUCAGAGUCCACAGCCUUCACCAGUUGAAAGGCUGAGCAUGCGCCUUCCUGCAGGUGCCGGCCCGCCUACAACCACCUGGGUCCCCCACCCCACACACCUACCUGCCCCAGAUGGAUCGCACCCUGCUGGCCUUGCUUUUCACCACUGCCCUGCUUCAGACCACUUUCCCUGUGUUGAUUGCACCACCCCUGCUAUGCCUGGGUACUGGCAGUGACCUCCCCAACUCAGCCCUCAACUUCCUCAGAGGCACCAACCCUAACUGGUACCAGCCAGCUCAGACCCUUUCUUCAUACACUGCCCAGGACGUGGACUCUGUGACCAUGAGGCCUGCCCAGCUGCUUUCUGGCCCCCAGCGUUGAAAACCUUGUCAUGAACCCUCCUGGACCCUCAGAUCUUGCAAUAGGAAGCUGGCUGCCAAAGGCCAGGAGAGUCUCUGAAAACAGACACUGCAUUAAAGAAAACGCUCCUGGAGGAAGCCUGAAGCCUGAGGCAGCCUUGGGCCAGCAGUGGCUCCUGGUUUACAUUAGAAAAGGGAGGUUUGGGGAUUCUUGUUUUCUAAAUUUACGUUUUUACUUGGCAUUUUGACACAUGUUUGUAUUUGAAACAUACUGAACAUCUAGUAUUGCUGUUUUCUACUUGGCUUUAGCAACAAGCAUUAAGUGAAUAAACUAUUCCGCUCUCUUCCUUCCCGGGUUUAUCAUGA